CUGAAACGGGAGAAGACCUGAACCAAUUAGUAAUGGUAACACAUGGUUAUCAUAUUAUGCGUCAUAUAGAAUUAAGAGAAAUUCCGGGAAUUAAAGAUUAUAGAGAUAUAGAUAUAGGAUCAAUGGCUAUGGGAAUGUAUCCAUAUCCUCUAUACCCAGCUGAGUCAACAAUUAGAUACACACUAUUUAUGGAUGUACCAAUUGCUAGUGAUAGGUUGUCUGUCGAAAUAUUUAGCAGUUUGAACGAAUGGGCUGUUGAAUACUUCGGGACUCCCGCUAAGUUUACUUUGAUAGAUAAAGAGCGUGCGGCAGAGACCCACCCGUAGUCUCCCAACAACCAUCCUCCCGAUUCAUCUACAGGUCCCCCUCCACCACCCUUCCCACCGCACCAGCCCCACCACCCCACUCUGGCUCCCUCCCCACCUCACCAGACGAACGACCGCCAACCCUGCCCGCCCCUCCGACGAAGAUACACACUAUUUAUGGAUGUACCAAUAGCUAGUGAUAGUUUGUCUGUAGAAAUACUAAGCGGUUUGAAUGGAUGGGCUGCUGGAUAUUUUGGGUCACCUGCUAGGUUUAGUUUGAGAGAUAAAAAGCGUGUGGCGGUGACCCACCCGCAGCCUCCCAACAAUAUCAUCCUCCAAAUUCAUCUACAGGUCCCCCUCCGCCUCUCCCUCCACUAACCUCCCCACCGCACCAGAUCAACGACCGCCAACCCCGCCUGGUCCUACGACGUAGCCCCCGACUUGCUGAACGGUCAGAGAAAACUCAAGUACUGCUUAAGGUUUUAACAGCCAAGUGAGGAGAAGAAGAUAGUCGUGAUACAUCUUACUUGCUAAGAAAAGCCUCACCUUCUAUGGGAAUCAAGUAUACUAAUGUUGAAGAACCAUCAAAUAUCUCACUCAACAAGAGGCAUGUCCAAGCUUUAUCUAGAAGUGAAGGGCACAAACAAAUGAAAGUUACUGAAUCUGAUGCUUGCGUGGGAAGUCGAAAGCUUGAAGGAAGGUUUAGAAGUUUUUGAAAGAAAGACGAAAACAAAGGCAAAAUCUGAGAUAUUUAUAGGGGACCUCUCAAGCAGGGGCGGGUGGAAAUAGGGACCAAGGAGGUCGCAGGACCACCCAAGUUUGGAAAAUAUACAUGUGAAAGUUUUUUGAGGAUCUUUUGAAUAUUUGGUACAGGUCUUUUUUUGUGCUUACUAAAUCUUUGAUGUAAUACAUGCUAGACUUAUCUCGAUAUGUUGUAUCGACAACAUGUGACAAAUUUUCUCUAUAUUACUCAUCAAAAUGUUUUUUAGACAACUAUCCAUUCUCAAGUGAAACACCCUUUCAG